GACGUAGGGCGCGAGCGUUGUCCGGAUUUAUUGGGCGUAAAGAGCUCGUAGGUGGCUUGUCGCGUCUGCCGUGAAAGCCCAUGGCUUAACUGUGGGUCUGCGGUGGAUACGGGCAGGCUAGAGGCUGGUAGGGGCAAGCGGAAUUCCUGGUGUAGCGGUGAAAUGCGCAGAUAUCAGGAGGAACACCGGUGGCGAAGGCGGCUUGCUGGGCCAGUUCUGACGCUGGAGGAGCGAAAGCGUGGGGAGCGAACAGG
rnacentral:rRNA from 1 species